AGUUUGAUCAGUGGCUCGAGGACGAACGCUGGCGGCGUGCUUAACACAUGCAAGUCGAACGGUGAAGGAGAGCUUGCUCCCGGAUCAGUGGCGAACGGGUGAGUAACACGUGGGCAACCUGCCCCAGACUUCGGGAUAACGCUUCGAAAGAGGUGCUAAUACCGGAUACGAACUCCUUGGGCAUCCCGGGAGUUAGAAAGUUUUUUCGGUCUGGGAUGGGCCCGCGGCCUAUCAGCUUGUUGGUGAGGUAACGGGCUCACCAAGGCGACGACGGGUAGCCGGCCUGAGAGGGCGACCGGCCACACUGGGACUGAGACACGGCCCAGACUCCUACGGGAGGCAGCAGUGGGGAAUAUUGCGCAAUGGGCGAAAGCCUGACGCAGCAACGCCGCGUGAGGGAUGACGGCCUUCGGGUUGUAAACCUCUUUCAGCAGGGAAGAAGCGAAAGUGACGGUACCUGCAGAAGAAGCACCGGCUAACUACGUG
rnacentral:rRNA from 1 species